rnacentral:rRNA from 1 species
CCUACGGGAGGCAGCAGUGGGGGAUAUUGCACAAUGGGGGGAACCCUGAUGCAGCGACGCCGCGUGGGUGAAGAAGCGCCUCGGCGCGUAAAGCCCUGUCAGCAGGGAAGAAAAUGACGGUACCUGAAGAAGAAGCCCCGGCUAACUACGUUCCAGCAGCCGCGGUAAUACGGAGGGGGCAAGCGCUAUCCGGAUUUACUGGGGGUAAAGGGGGCGCAGACGGCGAUGCAAGCCAGGAGUGAAAGCCCGGGGCCCAACCCCGGGACUGAUCUUGGAACUGCGUGGCUAGAGUGCAGGAGGGGGAGGCGGAAUUCGUGGUGUAGCGGUGAAAUGCGUAGAUAGCAGGAGGAACACCGGUGGCGAAGGCGGCCUGCUGGACUGCAACUGACGUUGAGGCACGAAAGCGUGGGGAGCGAACAGGAUUAGAUACCCCUGUAGUC